GGGGAGGCCACGGGCGUCUGCGGGCCCGGCCCCCACCUCACCCUCUGCAGCUUCCCAGUCAGGCUGGCCGAGUCGUACCCUUGACGAUAAGCUGGACACUCAGGUGUCCUCCUGAGCCCUAUGUCCGGAACCAGGGCAGAGCGCGACCCGGCGUGGCCACUUCAGGAAAGACGGCAGAUCAGGCCCAGACCCUGAGGCUCGGUGCUCACCCACCGCCCGGGUGCACGGACGCGCAGCAGCUGAAAGCUGGCCCCUCCCUGGGCACACUGGAGAAGCUGCAGCGCCUUUGCUCACCAGACAGCGCGCCGACGUCACUGCGAUUAGCACAGACACCUGGGAAGCACACGCUCAGCACGCACACAGAAACCUGCUCCCGGGUCCCCGAGGGGCCUCAGCGUGCCCUCCUGUCCUCGCCACAGGUGGGGAGGAGGUUCUCUGCCUGAUGUCCCUGACUCCCCAACGCGACCACGUCCUGCAGCGCCCGGGUCACGUGCUCACACCACCCGCAAGCCGCCUCUUCCCCCAAAGCCAGCCUCGCGGGGCCCUGGACCCGGCGCCCACCUCCCAGGGCCGUGGAUGGGGGGUGGGCUGCCCCUCAGCCACUCCCUGCCCCUUCUGCCAGUGACAACACCAUCAUCUCCCCACGCUCAAACAUCUGGGCACCGGGGCACCUUCUAGCUCAACACCAAUGGCCUUGACCGUCCUCCUCCGGGGCCACAUCACAGGCCAUCUGUCAGAAUCGCCUCCAGGGACUGGAGCCCAAGUACCUCUGUGCCACACUCCACGCCCACACCCGGGCCUCCUCCCGCCCAGAUGCCAGCCCAGCCCCUCGACAUUCCGCGUCCAAUCUAAGAGGCCAAAACUAGAAACGCCGGUAUCGUGCCCCGAGGAACACAGGGACCUGCGAGACGCGCCGUGGCCUCAGCGAUGCCCGGAAGUAAGAGGUUUUGUCCUGGAGCUGCGGGAACACAGGAGGGGUCAGCUCCCGGCUCAUCUCCGAGGAAACCACCCUCCCCUCCCCUCCCAGGCCAACAUCUGCAAACCUCCGAGGGAGAGACGGAGAGACGGCUGGAUGGAGGCCGAAUGCACCCAGGAGCCACAUUUUUGUAAAUUUCGUGUCUGAGGAUCAAAUCAUAAGGAAGAAAGGUCUUGGGGAAAGGAUCUAAAGCCCCCGGGACAGGAGCUCGGAGAGGGUGUGGCAAGGGCGGGCUAAGUCCCAGGCAGAGCCGAGGUCUACACAGGGACUUAAGGGAGUCCAGGGCUGAAGCGUGAGUGUCCCCAAAACCCAGGUGGCAGUGACUGGGCCUAGGGGAGUGGCUCUCUGCAUAGACCUGCCCCAAGGAGCCGAUCUGAAAGCAGGGAUAGAAGCGGUGGGGGAAGGGGCUCCUGAUGCGCAGGGACCCCCACAGCAGACCUCCUGCCUGCAAGCUCUGGCCACACCCUCCGUAAACCCUGCCCCUCCUCAUCGCCUCAGGCACCCCCCACCGCUGACCGGGCGGGUGCCUGGUGCUGCUGCAGGGAGGAGGGGGCAGCUGCUGAGCGGCUGACCGGGGCUGUGAGCGCCACGCAGCAACAGAAAGGAGCUGGCACAGAGGGGCGUGCCACUUCCCAGGCGCCAGCCCCAGAGGACCACAAGCGGAGCCUAUGGCACGCACCAAACACCAAAUUAUGGAGAGAACAGUGAGCGCGCUACGAUGCAAUGCCCGUGUUGUGGAGACUGUGGCUGGAAUGUUUCUCUGAGGAUGCUGGGCCGCCAGGAUUUGGGCCGGGGAAGGCGGGCUCUGGCUGCCAGAAGUUACCGGUGGAGCAGGAGAAGGUCUUCGGUACACAACUCUACUCUUGUGGAUGUUUGGAAUUUUUCAUAACAAUUUUCUUAAAAAGACAAACAAGAAACUCAUUUCCACUUUCUGUCUCUGGCGUCCCCUCUGGGCUGGAGCCCCUGUCUCUCCAGAGCCAGCCCUUGGGGGCGAGGGCUCUGUGGUCACAAGAAAUGAGAAUCAGAGGUCAGUGGCGCGGGGGGCUGGGGCCUCCGGAACAAGUCAGGUGCAAACGAGGCCACGGAGGUCCCAGCCCCCCAUCCACCCUGGAGGGACUUGUCCCACGACUACUGAACACCUGAAAGAAAGGCUCCCGAAGUCACCUGAUCACAGCUCCUGGAGCAGCACCCAGACAGGCCUGGGGGGGGGGGGUGGUUGUCAUCUCCUCUUUGAAGCUCUCAGCCACGUGACUGCCUCACCCCAAAUCCAUUUUGCCUGCACAUUUACGAAGACCUCACGUGACACCAGACCAGCUUGCUGCCCUCACUUCACUCUCACCAGCCGGAGGGAAACCAGCCUGUUGUGAGCAGUGAGCCGCCCACACGCUCACGACCACCUCCCCUACACGUCAGAUACCCCGUGUCCCCAGCCACCUUUGGGCUUGAAAGGCCAGCACAGGACAAGUAGACGCGACGCAGGAUCCAGCGGGAGGGCCAGCGUGGCCGUGACACCAGUGCAUGGGCCUUUGAAGCCCUUGGACAGGAGGCCCCGGUGCAGAGGGCGCUGGCUCUGUGACAAGGAAUGACGGCCCAGAACCAUGUGCCCGAGAGUCCGCUGGGACAGCACCACCACGUCGGGAAGCCCAUGGGGCCGCAGGGCACGUGCCCCGUGUCCAGGGCCGCCAUCCUCUGCGAGGCUAGAGAACCCAAGAGUCUGGCCCCAUCUCUGACGAUCAGCUGUGGUAGUGCAAGCCCCAGCUUCUCCACCCUUCUGCCCGAGUCUGGGCAGCCGACGAGACAGCCCAGGAAGCACCGGUGCAGCGGGCGCACACCGCGCCGUCCACGUCCACGGGCCCCAUCAUUUACUGCGCUGUGCCAGCCCUCACCUGUAACCGGAAGGUUCCCGAGAACAGGAAUUACACUCACACCUCCAUUUUCACCAUGGGCCUAAGUAGCAUUCAGACCACGGCAGCGGACUCUCCACUAUUUAUACCUCGCUGUGUCCUAAAAGUGACCCAAGAAAGCCAACCAUAGCUCUAUCCACUGAGAAAGGCUUAUAAUUGCUACAAUAUUAAAAAUUUAUUUAUCAAAUUGACGUGACUCGAAAUCAA